AUUUGUAAAACGAAUAUCGAUGUUACGCCACAUGUCUCUGUCAUGUCAGUGACGUUUGGACAUUCCCAUCUGAUGGAAUUAUUUAUACGAUAUUUGUUGUUUGAUAUAAUCAACCGCUGCGGACGAACUUAUUCAUCAGGAAAUACUAAAUCACUGCAUACAAUCAAUAAUUUCGAGAAUUACUUAGAGCGAUAAUUAAUAUUUCAUGUUUCGAGAAUUACUGAUUAGGUAACAAUGUAUUUCAAAGCUCUUACUUUUUUAAAUGGUAAAGUGCAAAAAUAAAGAUAAAUUGUAUCAUAGUUUUUUGUAACAUUAAUGCGUUCGUAGUUUCAAAUGAAAAUAUAGCGGUGGCUAGGUUAAAUUUAUCCUUGUGUUAAGUUACCCUUUAUGACAAUUUGGUGCAAUCGAAAUAAAUGCUAUGUUAUCCGUGAUACAUCUCGAACUUUUAUAAUGCAUAUAUAAAAUGAAAUGUUAUAUAAAUACAACUUUUGAUCCCUAAUGGGUUAACUAUUCUACCAAUUAUUUCCUUUUUCAUGUUCAACCUUUCGCAAGCGAAAUAUGAGAUAAACUGUCACAGAAUCAACAUUCUAUUCACGGGUAGAAUAUCGAUAACAAACCAUAAAUUAUACCGUGACAAACUGCACAAUCAUCGUACCGAGUUAUCAAGUUUUCAAGUUAUCGAGCGUAGCAGUAGAACCGUCAUAAAUCAGAAAGGGGAGAAACAACGAUCCUUACACAUGGGAUCCUUACACUGGUCAAUAAUGCGUGUAAAUUUUUGUUUUACAGAAUGUUCAAGAAUUAUCAAGCGAAAUCUAUAGUUCCACGUGGACAGCUACAAAGCUCAAGGCCCGAUGAAAAAUGCAUGAGGAUUUUCUCACGCAUCUAUUGGGACAUGUUGGCGAAAAACCAAGCGGCUUUACUAAACCCUAUCUUCGAUACAUGGUAACGUAUUGCAUGUAGCGUACGCGAUGUAACUAGAUUUUCUAGUGACACAUCUAUGGUCUUCCUUGAAAUACCAACCGAAUGUUCGCGUGCCGAUCUCCUAUCUAAAACGGGAAAUCGUGUAUGCGUGACUGCUCAGAAUGGAGCUCACUGACAUGGUAUGUUAAAAUCGACCAAUAGAUAACAUAAUUAUGCUUAGGAUGUCAAGAAAAAAAGGAUCGAUAGAAAUAUUGUCACUUAAGGAUAUGAAACUUCGAUCGUAUUAAUUGUACUGGUAUGUACACAUCAUUCAGAGACUUAGGCUGUUAUUUCUGCUCGAAUGACGUUUUUCGUGUCAUAAACAUGAAUUUUAUAAAAAUUGAAGCCCAUAGAAUUCUCGCGUACUCGUAAAUAUAGGCGAGUAGUAGCAAUACAUAAUAAAUCAGACGGUGUUUUAAAUUUCACUCAACUUCAAAUAAAUAUUGAAAAAGCAUAUCGUUUUGAUGGACAGAUCUUUUUUCAUUAAAAUAAAGAGUUAUGAGUCUAUAUUUCAAAUUUCAGAAGAACAAUGUUGUAUGAUACUGCAUACUUUGAUUAUUCAGCAGCAAGGUGUCAUUGGUCCCCACACAGAUCGAUAUAGUAUGAUUUAUUAACAAGCUUCGAUGAUGUUCGACUAGAAUUAUACAUUACAGGUCAGCUAUAUUGGCCAUAUUCGAAAAGGUAAAUUUCAUUCAAAAUAACUAUUCUUAAAUAAAAAAAAAAAAAAAAAACA